UACGAAGGGGGCUAGCGUUGCUCGGAAUCACUGGGCGUAAAGGGUGCGUAGGCGGGCUUUUAAGUCUGGGGUGAAAUCCUGGAGCUCAACUCCAGAACUGCCUUUGAUACUGAAGAUCUUGAGUUCGGGAGAGGUGAGUGGAACUGCGAGUGUAGAGGUGAAAUUCGUAGAUAUUCGCAAGAACACCAGUGGCGAAGGCGGCUCACUGGCCCGAUACUGACGCUGAGGCACGAAAGCGUGGGGAGCAAACAGG
rnacentral:rRNA from 1 species